rnacentral:rRNA from 1 species
UGUGAAUGUCAGGCUAGCUUGUCCAAGCUUAAAAGGAGCUUUGGAUAAUCUGACAAUGCCAUGACUGCAGAUGAUCAGCAGGAAAGACUAGAUGCGCAGUGGGUCACUGGGUUCGUAGACGGAGAAGGAUGCUUCCAUGUUUCCAUAAAUAAAGUUCGAGAAAUGUCCAUUGGCUGGCAAGUACUUCCUGAAUUUCGCGUGGUUCAACAUGAACGCGAUCAAUCGGUGCUCGAAGAAUUGCAAAGAUUCUUCAACGCCGGGAAGGUUGUUGUAAACCACGGUAGUAGGAAGGAACUAAGAAUAAGAAAGCUGAGCGAGCUUAAGGAGAUCGUUUCUUUCUUUAAGCGAUAUCCGCUGAAAACAAAGAAGGAAAAAGACCUAGAAAUAUUUGAGCAGAUCUUGGAACUGAUGGAACAAAGGGAACAUCUAACUGUCGCAGGCCUGACAAAGAUUGCCAAUCUUUGCUGGGCAAUGAACCGAAAAGUGAAACCGCGCUUUCUAGAAUCCUCAGAGACUAUACGCCAGAAAUCGCNNAGCCAAAUGCCUUGUCGGGUAAGUUCCGACGUGCAUGAAUGGAACAACGAGGGCCCCGCUGUCCCCGCCUGCAGCCCGGUGAAGCCACAUAAUGUGGACGAACAGUCCACAAACCUCUGUCGGGGAGAGAAGACCCUGUGGAGCUUUACUGCAGCCUGUUGCUGCGGUAUGGUUGCGGAUGCAGAGCGUAGCUGGGAGCCUUCGAAGCCUGCCCUCCGGGGCAGGUGGAGGCGCCGUUGUAACACCAGCCAUUCGUUACCGUAUCGCUAACCCGUUCUCACGGGGACAACGGCAGGUGGGCAGUUCGGCUGGGGCGGCACCCCCUUGAAAAAGUAUCGAGGGGGCCCAAAGAUUGGCUCAGGCGGGACAGAACUCCGCCGGUGAGGGCAAAGCCAAAAGCCAGUCUGACUGUGUUCCCAAUGAUACGGAAUACAGAGGAGAAAUCCGGGCUUAGCGAUCCAUCAUGUCCCCACUAUUGGGGGCUGGUGGUGACAGAAAAGUUACCCUAGGGAUAACAGGCUCGUCGCGGGCGAGAGCUCCCAUCGACCCCGCGGUUUGGUACCUCGAUGUCGGCUCUUCCCAUCCUGGUUCUGCAGCAGGAGCCAAGGGUGGGGCUGCUCGCCCAUUAAAGGGGAACGUGAGCUGGGUUUAGACCGUCGUGAGACAGGUCGGUCUCUGCCUGACAGGGGCGCGGUUGUCUGAGGGGAAGUUGCCCCUAGUACGAGAGGAACAGGGCAGCGCAGCCUCUGGUUUAUCAGCUGUCCGACAGGGCACGCUGAGCAGCUAAGCUGCUUAGGAUAAGUCCUGAAAGCAUCUAAGGACGAAGCCUUUCCCGAGAAAAGACAGCCUUCCGCAAGGAGAAGGGCGGCCAUAGAAGAUGGCGUUGAUGGGAUGGAGGUGUAAGCACCAAGCUUCGGCGAGGUGUUCAGCCUGCCAUUCCCAAUAGCCCAACGCACUAGAA